CGCGGCCUAUCAGCUUGUUGGUGAGGUUAUGGCUUACCAAGGCGACGACGGGUAGCCGGCCUGAGAGGGUGUCCGGCCACACUGGGACUGAGAUACGGCCCAGACUCCUACGGGAGGCAGCAGUGGGGAAUAUUGCACAAUGGGCGCAAGCCUGAUGCAGCGACGCCGCGUGAGGGAUGACGGCCUUCGGGUUGUAAACCUCUUUCAGUAGGGAAGAAGCGAGAGUGACGGUACCUGCAGAAGAAGCGCCGGCUAACUACGUGCCAGCAGCCGCGGUAAUACGUAGGGCGCAAGCGCUAUCCGGAUUUAUUGGGCGUAAAGAGCUCGUAGGCGGUUUGUCGCGUCUAUCGUGAAAGUCCGAGGCUCAACCUCGGAUCUGCGGUGGGUACGGGCAGACUAGAGUGAUGUAGGGGAGACUGGAAUUCCUGGUGUAGCGGUGAAAUGCGCAGAUAUCAGGAGGAACACCGAUGGCGAAGGCAGGUCUCUGGGCAUUUACUGACGCUGAGGAGCGAAAGCAUGGGGAGCGAACAGGAUUAGAUACCCUGGUAGUCCAUGCCGUAAACGUUGGGCACUAGGUGUGGGGGACAUUCCACGUCUUCCGCGCCGUAGCUAACGCAUUAAGUGCCCCGCCUGGGGAGUACGG
rnacentral:rRNA from 1 species